rnacentral:tRNA from 2 species
ACCCCUAGCCUUCCAAGCUAACGAUGCGGGUUCGAUUCCCG